rfam:Micromonas sp. RCC299 chloroplast, complete genome.
GGGGGUAUAGCUCAGUUGGUAGAGCGCUGCCUUUGCAAGGCAGACGCCAGCGGUUCGAGUCCGCUUACCUCCA